rnacentral:rRNA from 1 species
UACGGAGGGUGCAAGCGUUAUCCGGAUUUACUGGGUUUAAAGGGUGUGUAGGCGGUCUAUUAAGUCAGUGGUGAAAUCUCCGGGCUCAACCCGGAAACUGCCAUUGAUACUAUUAGUCUUGAAUUUUGUUGAGGUAGGCGGAAUAAGUCAUGUAGCGGUGAAAUGCAUAGAUAUGACUUAGAACACCAAUUGCGAAGGCAGCUUGCUAAACAAAUAUUGACGCUGAGGCACGAAAGCGUGGGGAUCAAACAGG